AAUCUACGUUAGUGGAAACUUCUAAAGUCAAUUGAAAUUGAAAAACAGUUAAAUAUGCAACACAUUCUAGACCUAGAGUGUUGAACAACUCAAUAAAUCAAGAAUAAAGAUUUCAAAUCCAAAGAAGGGUUAUACUGAGCAACAUAUAUCAAGCUAAAUUAAAUUUAUAAUGAGAAAUAAUAAAAUAUUAAUAAUCAUAUAGAAUUUUAUGAAACUAAUUAACUAAAUAUAACAAUACAUUUUUC
rnacentral:lncRNA from 1 species